rnacentral:rRNA from 1 species
CCUACGGGUGGCUGCAGUCGAGAAUAAUUCACAAUGGGGGAAACCCUGAUGGUGCAACGCCGCGUGGAGGAUGAAGGUCUUCGGAUUGUAAACUCCUGUCAUCGGGGAGUAAGACCUGGGCGUGAAUAGCGCACAGGGUUGAUAGUACCCGAAGAGGAAGGGACGGCUAACUUCGUGCCAGCAGCCGCGGUAAUACGAAGGUCCCAAGCGUUGUUCGGAAUCACUGGGCGUAAAGGGAGCGUAGGCUGCGCGGUAAGUCAGAUGUGAAAUCCCGG